CGCGUAGGCGGCAUUGCAAGUCGGAUGUGAAAUCCCCGGGCUUAACUCGGGAAUUGCAUCCGAAACUGCUUUGCUUGAGUCCUGAAGGGGGUAGUGGAAUUCCCAGUGUAGCGGUGAAAUGCGUAGAUAUUGGGAGGAACACCGGUGGCGAAGGCGGCUACCUGGACAGUGACUGACGCUGAGGCGCGAAAGCUAGGGGAGCGAACGGGAUUAGAUACCCCGGUAGUCCUAGCCGUAAACGAUGGGCACUUGGUGUUGGGGGUAUUGAGUCCCCCGGUGCCGGAGCUAACGCGUUAAGUGCCCCGCCUGGGGAGUACGGUCGCAAGACUGAA
rnacentral:rRNA from 1 species